rnacentral:rRNA from 1 species
GAUAAACGCUGGCGGCGUGCUUAACACAUGCCAGUCGAACGAAGUUUUUCCUUCGGGAGAAACUUAGUGGCGGACGGGUGAGUAACGCGUGGGUAACCUGCCCUGUACAGGGGGACAACAGCUGGAAACGGCUGCUAAUACCGCAUAAGCACUUAGCACUGCAUGGUGCAUAGGGAAAAGGAGCAAUCCGGUACAGGAUGGACCCGCGUCUGAUUAGCCAGUUGGCAGGGUAACGGCCUACCAAAGCGACGAUCAGUAGCCGAUCUGAGAGGAUGUACGGCCACAUUGGGACUGAGACACGGCCCAGACUCCUACGGGAGGCAGCAGUGGGGAAUAUUGCACAAUGGAGGAAACUCUGAUGCAGCGACGCCGCGUGAGUGAAGAAGUAUUUCGGUAUGUAAAGCUCUAUCAGCAGGGAAGAAAAUGACGGUACCUGACUAAGAAGCACCGGCUAAAUACGUG